rnacentral:tRNA from 1 species
GGGCGGAGGACCGGACGGAAAGGUGCGGGACUUGCAAUCCCCGGCACUGGCGCAAGCAGUAGCGGGUUCGACUCCCGCUCCGCCCU